rnacentral:tRNA from 1 species
GGGGAUUUAGCUCAGUGGCACAGGGUGCCUGCCUGGCAAUCAGGAGGUCAUGAGUUUGAUCCCCA